GAUGAAGAACGUAGCGAAAUGCGAUAAGUAAUGUGAAUUGCAGAAUUCAGUGAAUCAUCGAAUCUUUGAACGCACAUUGCGCCCCCUGGUAUUCCGGGGGGCAUGCCUGUCCGAGCGUCAUUACAACCCUCAAGCUCAGCUUGGUGUUGGGCCCCGCCGCCCCGGCGGGCCCUAAAGUCAGUGGCGGUGCCGUCCGGCUCCGAGCGUAGUAAUUCUUCUCGCUCUGGAGGUCCGGUCGUGUGCUCGCCAGCAACCCCCAAUUUUUUUCAGGUUGACCUCGGAUCAGGUAGGGAUACCCGCUGAACUUAAGCAUAUCAUUAAGCGGAGGA
rnacentral:misc_RNA from 1 species